ACAAGACCGAUGUGGGGUCUAUUUAAAGCAUGAUAGUAAACAAAAUUGAAUUUUGUAUCUAUUGGUAUAGGUUUUUAAACAACAUAAACGCGGGAACUUUACGAAACGUGGUAUUGAAAACUGCCGACCAUAAUUAUCACCCGCAGUUGCGCGCAGUUUUCUGUACUGCUAUCGCUAGCAAACGCCAGCUUUUGUAUUUGAUUGGUUUAACGGCGUUUCUUUUACUGAUUGAGAACACUUUUAAGUUUCAAGCUAUUCAGCAUGGCUUUGGAUUCAACUCAAGGUGCUCCUCAAGGCUAUAAACAUUUUCAAAUUUAAUGAAUUUUCUUGUUGAUUUGUUUUUGAGAGGCCACGGAACAGGAAACGGAUUUGAAAUGUAUUUUAAUUGUGAGUUUAUCUGUGCCGGGUGGGGUGGAUUUGUGUCAAGUUUCUUUUCUGUGGUUAGUUGAGAUACAAAUCAAAAUAGUUUUUAUAUUGAUUUGCCAUCGGGAUUAUUAGGUAGGUACCUAUCCUACGAAGUAUGUAGUCUACCUGAAGUCAAGUCUAUAUAAACCCCUCACCCAGAUUCGUUUUGGUCCUCUGCUCUCUUGUUUCCAUGAUCCUGAUCCUCUCCUUCUCUUCUGCGUCUCAAUCUCCUGCUUCAGGUUGAGACCCUGCUGUGGUUGGCCAUUUCGAGUUGUGCUUUUGGAGCUUGCAGCAAUGCGUGUUGCAAGUACCUAACUCACCAGAAAAGAUGAUGCUCUGAGAAUUAAUAAACAAAAGCCCACAAAGUCCUGUAAUUGACAAGUUACAUGGAUAAGUUUGAGUUAUUAUAUCAUUAAAAAAGUCUUGCAAUGUGUGUAGCGAUCAUGAAAUACAUGCCCUCUGCGGGCUUUGUCCACCUCUCCCAAACAUCCACCCUGCUAAGGGUUGGACAGACAACUAUCCGAUGGGGGAAGCCUGGAGGUUCCCCCAGGGUCCAAUCUUAUAAAAUGUCUUACUAUUCUAUUCACGGCAUUUGGUAACAUUUAUGGUGAUGUCAGUGCUGUCAGUGCUGAGUCUGGGUGACUGAGUCUUCACAACUCACCUCAACCUGGGUGUCUGCCCAGACCAAUGUUUCCUCAUAAUGUCUCCAGGUCUCCACUGCUCUCCUUGCCUGUUUCAGCUGUCUACCCCUGCACGCCUGAUUCCUGACUCCCUCUCUCAUUCGCUUUACCCAGGUUUUGCCAAUGUUCUGAGUGUGCAGUUGCUACUUUUUGGUGCGCACACACCCCAGACUCUCCAUCCAAUUAACGCCUGAACAGUUGCUGAAAGUGCCUCCCACCAGACUUGCUGAAUGGCUACUACUUGCAUAUGCUAUCUGGACUGAAGCUUCCCCAACUAGCUGCCAUGGCUCUUGGCAGCUGGGCUUAAUAGGUCACAGGUCAAAGUUCAUUUGGGUCAGGUUCAUAAAAUGUCAAGGACAUGUGUAAAAUUGAUCAACUGGAGGGUACUGAAAGUUUCGUCGCAAUCGGCGUCUUUUUAUGCGAGUUAUGAGUUAUCCGCGAAAAACCGAGGAGGGGUCCGUUCGACCCCCCCCCCCAUACGGGCGAGGGUUAGGCCACAUUCGGAAAGUCAAGCUACAUCUAGCUAGGCACAUCAGCCUAUCACGGGCGUUUGACUAGUAAAAUAUAUACAUUUGCAGCCUUUUUUGACGUUGAAUAAGCUGAUUUAGUUAUAGGUCGUCGAUCGUCAUUAUGUGCCUGCCGCCGCUUUUGUCGUCUUCAUUGUGUGCUUUGUGGUUUUUUAGUUUUGAUCAUAUCAUCCUCCAUCAGGCUUGUUUCUGGCGGUGGUUCUGGAGACAGCGUGUCGAUCCAGCUGUAGAACGUCAUCCGGAGUUGGCAGAGUGUGAUGGCCAGCCACGCGGCGCGCGUAUCGACAUUGACCAGAAACUAUCACAUCAUCUCCAGGUCACUGGUCGAGGGCGCUCGAGCUGACGGUGUCUUCCGACGGCUCCACGGUGACCAGCGCCGCCACCGCCGAGACCAUCCGACUCCUGAAAUGCUAACGGCCGUGCACGAACAAGAGGCUCUAAGCAUCCAGGUGCAAGGCAAGCGCCAUGCUCAGAGGUGUCAUCCGAAGAAGGCCGCACAGUGCACUUUAGGGUGAGCUCGGGUGUAGUGCGCGCCGACGGAUAGGAUGAAAUGACGGGCCGGCCAUCAGAUUUCAGUGCGGGGAUCAAGAUGGUCGGAGCCGAUGUGGCUCGGUUGAUGGUGUGGCAGGGUUGAUUGAGAGUGAAAGCGAGACACCCGGAUCUGUAAAGAAUGCGCCGAUACGGGUCUCGAACGUCGUCUCGCAAUUUGUGCUCUGUAAUAUGACGGCUAUGCCGUGGUAUCAUUCACUCUCGGUGCGCUAAUAAAUAAUAAAUAGGACAGAGGCUGGAAUUAAGAUAUUAUAUUUGGAUGUAAGGGGCAGGUUUGGGCCAGCGCUAUUUUAGAAAUCGUGAGCGUGCUAGUUGCAAUCAAUCGUGCGCUUCUUGUUGAGCAUCUGUGAGCGAGAAAAUACUUUCUUUGGAACUUAGCAGUUCGUCGUGAAAUAUUUGUAUCUUUGGAGUAAGUUGUCAGAACAUGAAUGCAUUUUUGGUGUCCACUGCAGCUGCUGUUCUGGAACAGAAACAUGCCGAGAUCGGCUGUGUUUGUAUGUUGUGGCAAAAUCAAGCAGCCGUACCAUGAAUCAAAAGCGAUAUGUGAAUUAAAGUGAAUAUAUUUCACUAUUUUUCAGCUUUAUCAUACAGAUCACAGAAAUGCGUCAAAUACUGAUCACACCCGGUUCCAAACAAAAACGCUUGCGAUCACUGGAAAAUAAAUAAACAAUAGAUACCCA
rnacentral:lncRNA from 1 species